GUGCCAGACUCCUACGGGAGGCAGCAGUGGGGAAUAUUGCACAAUGGGGGGAACCCUGAUGCAGCGACGCCGCGUGGGUGAAGGAGUACUUCGGUACGUAAAGCCCUAUCAGCAGGAAAGAAAAUGACGGUACCUGACUAAGAAGCCCCGGCUAACUACGUGCCAGCAGCCGCGGUAAUACGUAGGGGGCAAGCGUUAUCCGGAUUUACUGGGUGUAAAGGGGGCGCAGACGGCGAUGCAAGCCAGGAGUGAAAGCCCGGGGCCCAACCCCGGGACUGCUCUUGGAACUGCGCGGCUGGAGUGCAGGAGGGGCAGGCGGAAUUCCUAGUGUAGCGGUGAAAUGCGUAGAUAUUAGGAGGAACACCAGUGGCGAAGGCGGCUUGCUGGACUGUAACUGACGUUGAGGCUCGAAAGCGUGGGGAGCAAACAGGAUUAGAUACCCCGGUAU
rnacentral:rRNA from 1 species